AUAUCAAUAAGCGGAGGAAAAGAAACCAACAGGGAUUGCCUUAGUAACGGCGAGUGAAGCGGCAACAGCUCAAAUUUGAAAUCUGGCCUAUGGUCCGAGUUGUAAUUUGCAGAGGAUGCUUCGGGCGCGGUGCCUUCCAAGUCCCCUGGAACGGGGCGCCGGAGAGGGUGAGAGCCCCGUACGGUUGGCGGCCAAGCCUGUGUGAAGCUCCUUCGACGAGUCGAGUAGUUUGGGAAUGCUGCUCUAAGCGGGAGGUAGACCCCUUCUAAAGCUAAAUACCGGCCAGAGACCGAUAGCGCACAAGUAGAGUGAUCGAAAGAUGAAAAGCACUUUGAAAAGAGGGUUAAACAGCACGUGAAAUUGUUGAAAGGGAAGCGCUUGUGACCAGACGUGCGCCGGGGUGUUCAGCGGGCGUUCUCGCCCGUGCACUCGCCCCGGUGCAGGCCAGCGUCGGUUUGGGUGGGGGGAUAAAGGCGUCUGGAAUGUGGCUCCUCCGGGAGUGUUAUAGCCAGACGUGCCAUGCCUCCGCCUGGACCGAGGUACGCGUUCUGCAAGGACGCUGGCGUAAUGGUCUCCAGCGACCCGUCUUGAAACACGGACCAAGGAGUCGAGGUUUUGCGCGAGUGUUUGGGUGGAAAACCCGCACGCGUAAUGAAAGUGAACGUAGGUGAGAGCUUCGGCGCAUCACCGACCGAUCCUGAUGUUUUCGGAUGGAUUUGAGUAAGAGCGUAGGGCCUCGGACCCGAAAGAUGGUGAACUAUGCUUGGAUAGGGUGAAGCCAGAGGAAACUCUGGUGGAGGCUCGCAGCGGUUCUGACGUGCAAAUCGAUCGUCAAAUCUGAGCAUGGGGGCGAAAGACUAAUCGAACCAUCUAGUAGCUGGUUACCGCCGAAGUUUCCCUCAGGAUAGCAGUGUUGUUCUUCAGUUUUAUGAGGUAAAGCGAAUGAUUAGGGACUCGGGGGCGCUAUUUAGCCUUCAUCCAUUCUCAAACUUUAAAUAUGUAAGAAGCCCUUGUUGCUUAAUUGAACGUGGGCAUUCGAAUGUAUCAACACUAGUGGGCCA
rnacentral:rRNA from 1 species